GCCGCUGGGGAGUCGGCCCCAACCCCUGCCCGAUCCUCUGGCAGCGUCCUUACGCGUUCAGGCGCGGGCGUGCUGAUUGGCUUGGUCUAGGCUGGAGAAGCUCGACGAGCCAGCAACUCCUGCGGGGAGGGCGCCGGGUCAGGCGGUGAACAGGAGGCUGGAGGACAGGCCUGGCCGGAGCAACGCCCCUCGCAGCGCUCCCUCUGGACGGCCUAUAAAUGCUGUGAAUAUGUGGGAUGGGGGCUCCUGAGCCCCUGGAUCUUUCUCUCAGGCAAUCUGGUCUGCCCUUUGAAGAACCCAACAGCUCAGCCUUCUGUGAAUUGUCCCUGCUGACAUGGUCGACUUCACUCCCCAGACCUACUUGACCUCUAGUAAACAAAAAACUCCUACAGAUUGCUAAGAAAAAGUCAAAUGACCCAAUACAAAAAUGGGCCAAGGUAGAACCAGACAAUUCACAGAAGAGGAGCUGCAGAUGUUGAGAAGACUCUCAACAUGUCUAAGUGUCAGGAACAUUCAAAUGAGAACAGCACCCCUGAGGGUGACAAAAAUUCGAAAGACCUAUAUAGCAUUUGGAGCUGGUUUUGGUGUGAAAUGUUCUCCUUAAUUCCGUUUUGGAUCCAGAUAAUUCAGAAGAGAUUGUUUAAUUUCCAAAUAUUACAGAUCUACCCCUUUCUGGAAGAGAUACAGGACAUCAUUAUUCAAGAACAAGUGUACAAGGGAAAAAAAAGAAAAAACACUUUGAAGCGCAUCCACUUAGGGGAAGGCAGAAUUUCAUGCAAAAAGUAAAAAGGCGUUAUUGGCACUGUAUGGUGACAAAUGAAACAAAAUAUUGUGAAAAAUACAUUUAUCCAAUAUUUACUAAAAUUUAGGUUACAAUUGGAAGGAUGUAAUUAUGUUUUAGAACAAACAAAUAUACAUCUGGUGAACCUUUCCAUAUGUAUGUUGUAGUUAA